rnacentral:rRNA from 1 species
GGAGUUAGCCGGUGCUUCUUCUGUGAGUGAUGUCCUUCCUGCCGGCUAUUAACCCGCAGGCCUUCUUCCUCACUGAAAGUGCUUUACAACCCGAAGGCCUUCUUCACACACGCGGCAUGGCUGGAUCAGGGUUGCCCCCAUUGUCCAAUAUUCCCCACUGCUGCCUCCCGUAGGAGUCUGGGCCGUGUCUCAGUCCCAGUGUGGCUGAUCAUCCUCUCAGACCAGCUACGGAUCGUCGCCUUGGUGAGCCGUUACCUCACCAACCAGCUAAUCCGACAUAGGCUCAUCCGAUAGCGCGAGGACCGAAGGUCCCCCGCUUUCCCCCGUAGGGCGUAUGCGGUAUUAGCCUGGGUUUCCCCAGGUUAUCCCCCACUACCGGGCAGAUUCCUAUGCAUUACUCACCCGUCCGCCGCUCGCCACCAGGGAGCAAGCUCCCCGUGCUGCCGCUCGACUUGCAUGUGUUAGGCCUGCCGCCAGCGUUCAAUCUGAGCCAGAAUCGAACCCUGA